rnacentral:tRNA from 1 species
UCCCUUGUGGUCUAGUGGUGAGGACUCUGUACUUUCAUUGAUGAGGGCACAGGUUCAAUACCUGAUCAGGGAA